rnacentral:rRNA from 1 species
UGCCAGCAGCCGCGGUAAUACGUAGGGGGCAAGCGUUGUCCGGAUUUAUUGGGCGUAAAGAGCGUGUAGGCGGCCAGGUAGGUGGGUUGUGAAAACUGGAGGCUCAACCUUCAGACGUCGACCCAAACCCCCUGGCUAGAGUCCGGAAGAGGAGAGUGGAAUUCCUGGUGUAGCGGUGAAAUGCGCAGAUAUCAGGAAGAACACCCGUGGCGAAGGCGGCUCUCUGGGACGGUACUGACGCUGAGACGCGAAAGCGUGGGGAGCGAACAGGAUUAGAUACCCUGGUAGUCCACGCCGUAAACGAUGGGUGCUAGGUGUGGGGGGUGUCGACUCCCUCCGUGCCGAAGCUAACGCAUUAAGCACCCCGCCUGGGGAGUACGGCCGCAAGGCUAAAACUCAAAGGAAUUGACGGGGGCCCGCACA